rnacentral:rRNA from 1 species
GGGUGAGUAACACGUGGGUAACCCUGCCCAUCAGAAGGGGAUAACACUUGGAAACAGGUGCUAAUACCGUAUAACAAUCGAAACCGCAUGGUUUCGUUUUGAAAGGCGCUUUACGGUGCCGCUGAUGGAUGGACCCGCGGUGCAUUAGCUAGUUGGUGAGGUAACGGCUCACCAAGGCCACGAUGCAUAGCCGACCUGAGAGGGUGAUCGGCCACAUUGGGACUGAGACACGGCCCAAACUCCUACGGGAGGCAGCAGUAGGGAAUCUUCGGCAAUGGACGAAAGUCUGACCGAGCAACGCCGCGUGAGUGAAGAAGGUUUUCGGAUCGUAAAACUCUGUUGUUAGAGAAGAACAAGGGUGAGAGUAACUGUUCACCCCUUGACGGUAUCUAACCAGAAAGCCACGGCUAACUACGUGCCAGCAGCCGCGGUAAUACGUAGGUGGCAAGCGUUGUCCGGAUUUAUUGGGCGUAAAGCGAGCGCAGGCGGUUUCUUAAGUCUGAUGUGAAAGCCCCCGGCUCAACCGGGGGAGGGUCAUUGGAAACUGGGAGACUUGAGUGCAGAAGAGGAGAGUGGAAUUCCAUGUGUAGCGGUGAAAUGCGUAGAUAUAUGGAGGAACACCAGUGGCGAAGGCGGCUCUCUGGUCUGUAACUGACGCUGAGGCUCGAAAGCGUGGGGAGCAAACAGGAUUAGAUACCUGGUAGUGCACGCCGUAAACGAUGAGUGCUAAGUGUUGGAGGGUUUCCGCCCUUCAGUGCUGCAGCUAACGCAUUAAGCACUCCGCCUGGGGAGUACGACCGCAAGGUUGAAACUCAAAGGAAUUUGACGGGGGCCCGCACAAGCGGUGGAGCAUGUGGUUUAAUUCGAAGCAAAGCGAAG